CCCUUAGAUGUUCUGGGCUGCACGCGCGCUACACUGAUGCAUGCAACGAGUUUUCGACCUUGCCUGAAAAGGUUGGGUAAUCUGUUUAACAUGUGUCGUGAUGGGGAUAGACCAUUGCAAUUAUUGAUCUUCAACGAGGAAUUCCUAGUAAGCGCGAGUCAUCAGCUCGUGCUGAUUAUGUCCCUGCCCUUUGUACACACCGCCCGUCACUCCUACCGAUUGAGUGAUCCGGUGAAUGAUUCGGACCAGCGUGCUGCUCAGAUCCUGCGCAGUGUGCUGGGAAGUCUAGUGAACCUUAUCACUUAGAGGAAGGAGAAGUCGUAACA
rnacentral:rRNA from 1 species